UACGUAGGGUGCGAGCGUUUAAUCGGAAUUACUGGGCGUAAAGCGUGCGCAGGCGGUUUCACAAGCUCGAUGUGAAAGCCCCGGGCUUAACCCUGGGAUGGCAUUGAGGACUGUGGAGCUCGAGUGCGGCAGAGGGAGGUGGAAUUCCACGUGUAGCAGUGAAAUGCGUAGAGAUGUGGAGGAACACCAGUGGCGAAGGCGGCUUUUUGGUCUGUAACUGACGGCUUGAGGCGACGAAAGCGUGGGGAGCAAACAGGGAUAAGAAACC
rnacentral:rRNA from 1 species